rnacentral:rRNA from 1 species
AACGAACGCUGGCGGCAGGCUUAACACAUGCAAGUCGAACGGGCCCUUCGGGGUCAGUGGCAGACGGGUGAGUAACGCGUGGGAACGUGCCCUUCAGUUCGGGAUAACCCAGGGAAACUUGGGCUAAUACCGGAUACGUGCGAGAGCAGAAAGAUUUAUCGCUGAAGGAUCGGCCCGCGUCUGAUUAGCUGGUUGGUGGGGUAAUGGCCCAGCAAGGCGACGAUCCGUAGCUGGUCUGAGAGGAUGAUCAGCCACCUUGGGACUGAGACACGGCCCAAACGCCUACGGGAGGCAGCAGUGGGGAAUAUUGGAUAAUGGGCGCAAGCCUGAUCCAGCCAUGCCGCGUGAGUGAUGACGGCCUUAGGGUUGUAAAGCUCUUUCGCACGCGACGAUAAUGACGGUAGCGUGAGAAGAAGCCCCGGCUAACUUCGUGCCAGCCGCCGCCGUAA